rnacentral:rRNA from 1 species
ACACGGUCCAGACUCCUACGGGAGGCAGCAGUGGGGAAUAUUGGACAAUGGGCGAAAGCCUGAUCCAGCCAUGCCGCGUGUGUGAAGAAGGUCUUCGGAUUGUAAAGCACUUUAAGUUGGGAGGAAGGGCAUUAACCUAAUACGUUGGUGUCUUGACGUUACCGACAGAAUAAGCACCGGCUAACUCUGUGCCAGCAGCCGCGGUAAUACAGAGGGUGCAAGCGUUAAUCGGAAUUACUGGGCGUAAAGCGCGCGUAGGUGGUUCGUUAAGUUGGAUGUGAAAUCCCCGGGCUCAACCUGGGAACUGCAUUCAAAACUGACNAGCUAGAGUAUGGUAGAGGGUGGUGGAAUUUCCUGUGUAGCGGUGAAAUGCGUAGAUAUAGGAAGGAACACCAGUGGCGAAGGCGACCACCUGGACUGAUACUGACACUGANGUGCGAAAGCGUGGGGAGCAAACAGGAUUAGAUACCCUGGUAGUCCACGCC